rnacentral:lncRNA from 1 species
GGGUCAACAGCGAUUGCACGGGCAUUAUAAUACUGUAAGAUUGUUUUUUAUCCUUAAAAAAUGCAGAGAAUAAUGAUCCUAAUCCUUUUUUCAGAAUCGAGAAAGUGACUGACCACCUGGAAGCACUCAUUGAUCCAUUUGACCUGGAUGUUUUCACGCCACACCUCAACAGCAACCUCAAUCGCCUGGUGCAGCGAACUUCUGUGAGUUGAGUCUCAAACAUGCUCAUUGUGACUUAAGUGCCACAGGCUCAAAUUACAAAAUUAACCUGCUGCUGCACUUACACUCCAGGAGGCAGCCUUAGGAGGGGGGUAAGACACAAAUAGCUGUGUGUAGUUAUAAGGGCUGAAAGAGGAUUAGAUAAAAUCUCACAUGCUGAGGCAAACAUGAUCUGACUCCUUAAGUUAUAGAUAAGGAUUAUUAAGGUUUUAUCCAGGCCUCAGAAAGAAAAAUAAAAGAACUAUGUGACUGUGAGAUUCUGACCUGCAGGGCAAUGAUAAAAAGUAAUUUUGAAGCAUUAAUACGCUCAAAAGAACAUUCCCCAAAACGAUGGUUAGAACAGUGAUUGAUUGCUAACAGAGAAGUGACUUUCCCUGACCUGGACAGUGAAACCCCAGCAUUUUAUUGUGCUCCAUUUCUUGUCUGUCAGGUUCUGUUUGGAUUGGUUACUGGUACGGAGAGUCAGUUCAGCCCCCGGAGCAGUACAUUCAACUCCCAAGAACCCCACAACAUACUGCCACUGGCAUCGAGUCAGAUCAGGUUUGGACUUCUCCCACUCAGCAUGACAAGCACUCGAAGGGUGAAAUCAACCAGCAGAAGCGUCGAAACAAAAGCCCAGGUUGUCCCCCCGGCACUCUCCAGAGCAGGUGACCCGAUGCUUCCUGGCUCCUUGUUCAGACAGCUCGUCAGUGAGGAAGACGACACGUCUGCACCUUCAUUAUUCAAACUUGGCUGGCUCUCUAGUAUGACUAAGUAGCAUGGGAACAUACCCCUCUCUCUAAAUAAAUACUACCACAUUAUUUCUUCUAAAGGUGCCCCUGCUCAUUUGUUUCAAAGCCACACCAAUCUAUCCAGUUCCAAUGAUGGAAUGUGGCCCCCUAGUUACUGUUAGGGGUUACUUUAAGCAUAAAGUUAAUCCUUGUCCAAUAGUUUCACAAUACUUGUUGCUUUAAACAUCAGUUCAGAUAGGUUACACUUUAUCAGCAUUCAUCAAUGCCUUAAUUAUUGACACUACAAGGUGGAGUUAUCAGACAUCAGGUAAGCUGCUGAUUUAACAAGUUUGUGAGUAAGACAAAAAGUCAUUACAUAUUUCUUCACUUUCCGAGCUGUGCAGUGUUU